CAUUUCUUGGGCCGCUCCUGUGGCAUAUGGAGGUUCCCAGGCUAGGGGUCUAAUCGGAGCUGUAGCCACUGGCCUACACCACAGCCACAGCAACGCAGGAUCUGAGCCGCGUCUGCAACCUACACCACAGCUCUGCAACCUACACCACAGCUCAUGACAACGCCGGAUCGUUAAGCCACUGAGCAAGGGCAGGGACCGAACCCGCAACCUCAUGGUUCCUAGUCAAAUUCGUUAACCACUGAGCCAUGACAGGAACUCCCACAAUACUAUUCUUAAUCACAAAAGAAUGGAAAUCGCCCAAGUGUCCAUCAACAGGGGCCUAUUUAAACAAACUAUGAUACAUCACAUAACAAAGUAUUAAUACUACAGCUCUAUUAAUAUUUUAUACAAUGAGAAAGAACGAGAGACUCUACAUAUUGAUAUGAAAAUGUUUCCAGAAUAUGCAAUUCAGAGAAAAAAGGUGCAGAACAAUGUAUAAAAUUUGAUUUCUUUUGAAGAGAAAAGGAAAAAUUAAAUAUAUAUAUUCAUAUUUGCAUGAAUCUGCCUUUUAAAAACGACACAGGAGGCAUACAUAAUAUAGGACCUACUAAAGAGUUUAUCAAAUUAGACUCAAAUCAGACUGCCUGGGUCUGUCUUCUACUUACAAAUCAGUUAAACUCUUUAUGUUUAUCUAUAAAAUGGGAAUUAAAGGAAUUCUUACCUCAUAGGAUUGACACAAAAUAAAUGAGUUAAUAUUUGCAAAGUACAUAGGACAGAAUUGGGCAUUUACUAAGUGUUAUAGAAAUGUUGAUAAACAACUAAAUAAAACUUGCAAAGGAUAGGUUAGAAAUAAGAUUUAUUACUGCAUAUUUUUUUAAGAUCACCUCAGUUUGUGAACUAUUCAUUUUUGAGUAUUGGAUGUAUGAUUCAAUACAUCCAAUACUCAAACAAUAGUAAAUUAAUACAUAACCUUAAAACUGGCCCCUCAGCUGAGAAAAGUAAAUACAAGACAUUCCCAGGUUCUAGAGUCUAUAUCCCCCCAAACACUGUGUUCUCAGAAACCAGAAUUGACUAUCAACCAUCUAAAGGAAGGGACCUGGAAAUAUUCUUGGUUUCAGCUUCAUCAGGAUGCUUAUUUGUAUGACUAGCACAGAUUCCAGAAAACAUCUAUUAAUACAUUAAUUCUGACCCUAUGGAUUCAUCAUAUCUGGGAGCAGGAUACACUUAGCAUAGCAUUCCCUUUCUUAAAGAAUGAUAUUUGAGACACCCCUGACUUCCAGGAAAGCUUAAACAUUUGCAAUAAGAUCAUCACAUUUUAUUUGAAGUACAAUUUUUUCCUCUGCAACAUAUUAUAAAAACCUCUUCAUUUCCUUUUACUCCUUUAAUCCCAGUUUCUGGCACUCUGGUAUUACUGGAAGUAGAGAGACUAUCUUAGGAAACAGGGCCUACUAUCUCCAGUAAGCAGAUAUUUCCCGUCCUAUACCACAGUGGCUCUUUCCAUUACCUCUUAGUAUGAACAGAAGUUGGUGCAAUGUGCCUCUCAGGGAGGGCUUCUUUCUUAUCCCGUUUGUUUUGGCUGGAAAAUCACUCUCAACAGAUUCCCGAAAUGAAGUUGCAAUUGAUGCUUCUGAAGCCUGAGACCCUAGGGGACCACUGAGAACUAAUACCCCUUCCAUGUUCUCCUGCAGGCAGUGUCUUUCCUCAGUGAAUUGUUCAUACCUUGAAUAGCAUUCUUUUCUGUUACACAUUUUUCUGCAGCAACAAAAUAUGCCUCUACUUUUUAUUUUAUUCUGUCCUCCUACACCUUUCAGAAAGUUUUAACUUUUUAACACUUUAACCUGCUUAUUAAUUUGAUUUCCUCUCCAAAAUAAAAAGGAUUAUUGCUAUUUGCUGGAAAUGAAUACUUGCCUUCCUUUUAAGUCUUUUCUAGAUAUUAAGGUUUUUUUCUAUUUUCCCCCUAUUUUUUAAAUUCCAGAAUCAUUCCUACCAUCAGAGACAAAAUCACUAAAUUACUAAAAGCAUCUAAUAUUUAAACAAAUCUCUUCUCCUCCACUUCCCUGAGAUAGAUAAUUCCACGAAAAAACUUUUCUCCCAACAGACUGAUAUCAAGCCCAUCUAAGCUUAAACUUAACUCAUGUUCUCACCUUGCUCCUUUCAAUAUGCCUUAUCUUGCUGAGCCUUGUCUUGAGUCCUAAUUCUUUUUUUUAAUUCUCUUUGAAGUAUAGUUGAUUUACAAUGUUGUGUUAGUUUCAAGUGUACAGCAACGUGAUUGAGUUACACAUACAUAUAUAUCUAUUUUUUUCACAUUGUUUUCUGCUAGAGGUUUAUUACAGAAUGUUGAGUAUUUUAGUCCUAAUUAUUGAACAUGCUCCUUCAAGGCACAAGCUAUAUCUCUACAAACCUACAAGGACUACAUUACCUGAAAAAUCACCUAAUAAUACUUUUCAUAUUCUACAGAUCUUCCUAGAUCUCUCAUUCUUAAAGAUUCUGUUCUCAUGCAGUUUAUACCAUUUCUUAUCUGUGAUCUCUCCAUAGUUUCCUGCUUCUUAACUCUCUUUGAAGGAGUCAUUCCAUUUUAAGAUCUUACCUCUUUCUCCUUUUGAUUAAUUUGGGACCUGGGACCCCAUCUCAGUCUAGUAACAGCUAACACCUCUCCCUUUUCCAAGAUUCCGUCGCACAGUACUUAGAUCCCCUUGAAUCCUCAUUUCUCUCUUAUAGAUGUCUAUUUGAACUUCAAAGUGUUUUCUACAUCAUUUUUUCAAUUCACUCCUUAAUUUCUCAAGUUUUUUCUUCUAAAAAAAAUUUAUUUUCCUCCAGCUUAUUUUUUUGUUUGUUUCCAGUCUUCCAUUGUUCUAUUAUAACCCGAAGUAUAAGUUUUAAAUUACACUAACACCUGAAAUUCCUAAGAAAAAUCAAGGAUUACAACUAAAGCACUCCAAACACCAGCUUUUUUGACUUGCCAUUGUUUUUGCAUUUUUUUGACUAGCCAUUGUUUUUGCAAUAAUUUUAUGGAACCGUUUCUUAUCCUGAAUUUUAGAAGAAGAUAUAUGUUCUUUAGAGUAAGGUCCCCAAUUUUUUUUUUUUAUUUUGAUAGCCAUCAAUCUCCUGUGGGUCGAGUCACAAUUUGAAUCUCAGCAGUGAAAAGUUAUGGUCAGACUGUAUGAAAUUACCAAAUUCAGAGUCACUUGCUAUCAAAAGAUGGGAGCAACCUUUAAGUGUACCGACAAGUCACAUGACUCCUAGAUUUGCCCCUCUAACAUUCCCUCUUGACUCUGAAAGGGAUUCAAAACAAUAUAAAAGAUCAAAAAAUUUCAACAGACUUUCUCUGCCACUAACCUAAGCUUGGCACUAAGUAUGUCCUGUAGGUACUGCUGGAAAUAGUAAAACACAUUGAGACCUAAAAAAGGAUAGUACAUGAAAAGACUCUCUAUAAUAAAACCCUCAACUCAGGCAAGGCUAUUUAUAAAAUAAUCAGGUGUGCAGAGUUUAAGGUCAUGUCGUUACCACUAUUUGGCUAGGAUAUAUUUUAAAAGGACAUUUCUGGAAGUCUCUAAGUUCCCAUUGUGGCUUAAUGGUAACAAGCCCCACUAGCAUCCAUGACGAUGCGGGUUCUAUCCUUUGCUCAGUGGGCUAAAGUAUCCGUCAGUGCUGAGCUGUGAUGUAGGUCGCCGAUGCGGCUACGCCACAUGCUGUGGCUAUGGUGUAGGCCAGCAACUGUAGCUCCAAUACCACCCCUAGCCAGGGAACCUCCAUAUGCUGUAGAUACAGCCCUUAAAAAAAAAAAAAAUGGGUGUCUCAAAAUGAGUGUUUGCUUAUAUAAAAACAGCCACUCGUCUAUAGAUAAAACCGCCAUAAGCUGCAACAACCCACUACAGAGAAUAUGUGGUCAAUACCUAGUCCAAUACUGUCAAAGUUUAACACCUCCCACUGCCGCCAUGCCAUAAGCAUGCCCGAAGUUUUACUCCAUAAACACUCCACAACACAGAAUUCUCUUUUUACGCUUUCUCUUUAUACCCACUCUAUAUCCUAGAUGUUGGAGUGUGAAAGGGUCCCUGGAAAGAAAUGAAAAAAAAAAAAAAAAAGCAAGAAAAUCAAAAUAUAUCCUUACAACUUGCUAAUAAACAUGUUUAAGACUGUGGCUUACAACAGCAGACUUACUCAUACGGAACUCCAGAAUUAGACUUACCAAGGACAGACAAACGGCAGCCAACAGAAGAGAACGCAGAGGCAAAUUCUGGACCUAUCAACCUUACCGCCCGGAGAGGAGGAGUAAAAUUGUGCACUUUAGGAACUGCUCCUCCCUAAGAGGAAAGGAAGGGGCGGGUCACACACGCCGACUUCCGCUUUCGGAACUGACCAAUCAGAUAGCUGAUUUCCCCCUCCAGGGAGGAAGAAAAAGAGAAGCGUUACCCUUAGCCGCGUUUUUUAUAUGUCCCUCCAACUGAAGGAAACAGCUUUGGGACAAGGUGUUCCCGUUCCUCAACAUAAUGCAGUCUCUGCAGUCAGGAUCUUUUCCUUCCUUGUUACUGCAGUCUUUUAA
rnacentral:lncRNA from 1 species